AGCAGCCGCUUGCGGAGGAGUUCUGCCCACUGCAGCGCUCUGCAGUCUCUGGCCCGCUCCCGUAGGACCCGUCACGGCAGCCAUCGUCGCCCUCUGCAUUCAGCCCAUUUCGCCGCUGUUUCAGUACGGCUUUUAAAGCCUCAGCACUGAUUUUUAUCCGUGUCAGCAGCCUCGAUCUUCGCUCUCUCAGUCCGGCCGCCACUGCUUCUUCCACCUCCGCCUCGGGCACCGCCGCUUCUGAUUUUUCGAUUCUGUGAAGAUAGCAUUCAUCCCCCUAGGACAAGAGGAAACUUCUUGGUCCCUUCCACUCUACAAUGAAGCUGAAAGUAGCUAGGAAAUGUUAACUGUAUUUCAUUAUUACUGCCUAGCCACUCUUCCAGCCCAGGUGAUAGUGAUGUGAUCACAUAGAAUUAUAAACCAAAAGUGGAGCAGAAUCUCUUCUGCUCGUGACUAACUUUUCCACUAUCGAACAUGCCUCUUCCUUCAGAUUUUGGUCCAGAGAGGAACUGCUGUACUGUUUUCCCCUGUGGCUCCACCAUUUUACAUCUCCACUCACAAAUUGCAAAGAUUCUGAUUUCUCCAUAUCCUCACCAAUGCUUAUUUUCUUCUUCUUUUUUUUAAAUGGCCAGUGUAAUGCUUGUGUCUGGCUAAUUCAUAUUUUUAUUUAUGAUUUUUAAAAAAUUUCCCUUAUACUUUGAGAUGUUACACUUGUUUUCAUGUGUUUGU